GAUGAACGCUGGCGGCGUGCCUAAUACAUGCAAGUCGAGCGAACAGGUGAGGAGCUUGCUCCUCUGACGUUAGCGGCGGACGGGGGAGUAACACGUGGAUAACCUACCUAUAAGACUGGGAUAACUUCGGGAAACCGGAGCUAAUACCGGAUAAUAUAUUGAACCGCAUGGUUCAAUAGUGAAAGACGGUUUUGCUGUCACUUAUAGAUGGAUCCGCGCCGCAUUAGCUAGUUGGUAGGGUAACGGCUUACCAAGGCAACGAUGCGUAGCCGACCUGAGAGGAUGAUCGGCCACACUGGAACUGAGACACGGUCCAGACUCCUACGGGAGGCAGCAGUAGGGAAUCUUCCGCAAUGGGCGAAAGCCUGACGGAGCAACGCCGCGUGAGUGAUGAAGGUCUUCGGAUCGUAAAACUCUGUUAUUAGGGAAGAACAAAUGUGUAAGUAACUAUGCACGUCUUGACGGUACCUAAUCAGAAAGCCACGGCUAACUACGUG
rnacentral:rRNA from 1 species